UCUCCGUUGGUGAACCAGCGGAGGGAUCAUUACCGAGUUUACAACUCCCAAACCCAAUGUGAACCAUACCAAACUGUUGCCUCGGCGGGGUCACGCCCCGGGUGCGUCGCAGCCCCGGAACCAGGCGCCCGCCGGAGGGACCAACCAAACUCUUUCUGUAGUCCCCUCGCGGACGUUAUUUUUACAGCUCUGAGCAAAAAUUCAAAAUGAAUCAAAACUUUCAACAACGGAUCUCUUGGUUCUGACAUCGAUGAAGAACGCAGC
rnacentral:misc_RNA from 1 species